ensembl:lincRNA
AGUAGAGGGCGCUAAAGAGACACUACAGGAACAAGGGGCUUUUCUCUUGGUUUUACUCCUGGUGUCUGACCUCCAACAGUUCAUCAGCCGUGAAAUGUGCCAUAAAGAUCUCUACAGUGUUCAAUCCUUCUCCCGGAUCCUCUGCCUGGACUCAGGGACCCCUUGCCUUCACCCUUGUGACAUACCAGUUUUACACCUACAGUAAAGUCCGACCUCCUGACCACUUUCCUACUUCAGCUGGCUGACUGGGCAGGACUUUGCUUCUUAAAGCUCUCCCUGCAUGAAUGCUUCACACCUUACACUCCCUAGUGUGUGUGGUCACGUGAUAAGCCAAGAGAAGAAAUUUUACUUUGAUUCAUCAUUAAAGAGAGACUUGAAUCCAUCACUACAGGGGGAUGCAUGGGCAGCUCUUCACCUGACCAUUGUCCAGGAAGCAGAGUUCGGGACUAGAGCCUCAAGCAGAUACAAAUCUCACAGGUCUGCCCCUGGUGGCCCAUUUAGGCUAGCAUCUCCUCAGGAGUCUAUAGCCUUCAAAGCGGGCCCCCACAAACUGGGAAAUCAAGUGUUUAAAACAGGAGACUAAGAAUGCCAUUUAGAUUCAGAGCAAAACAGACCAAAGACUAAGCCCAGGAAAACAAUUAAGGCUUGGGAACUGUGUAUGAGAACAGCAUCCAAGUUAGGAGGCCGGCAAAGCUGCUUCGUAGCCAUACACAAGUGACUGGCAACUGCUGACAAACCACCACAGACAGGAUCAAGAGCAUGAAUGACUCCAGGCUUUGGGCUUUGGGCUUUGGGAGGCAGCAAUUUUUUGUCGUUGUUGUUGGGGGGUGGGGGAGAAGGGUUAGGGGGAGGGGUUCUCUGUUCUACAUCAGGUGAUCAUUUCAACCACGGUGGUGCUGAAGGACCUGCUAAAUCUGGCCUUGUUCCUGCCUUGGCAGGCUGCCAUGCAUAGCCAGGAUGAUGGAGGGGUGUUUUUUUACAAGUGUCAAGCCCCAGGAACACUGUCUUCAUCCUGUCUGAUAAAGCCCAGAGUCCGACGACAAGCAUCAGGGAAAAACACGGGUUCUAGUUCCAUUCCAACCCCUGCAGGCCGGCUCACUAAAAACUUCUGACAAUGCCAACUUAAUCGUUGUAAUUUCCCAGCCUUUAUGUUCGAGAAACCAUUCGGGGAUGUAGUUUUCACUUUGAGUAGUUUUUGUUUCCCCCCCAGAUUUCCCUCCCUCAAGCAGCAUGAGAAAGAAAAGCAAGGUACAAGCAGCCAGCAUCCAGACACCAAGAAGGAGGUGAUGGCUGCUCCAUCAAGGGAAACAAGGGGCUACUGUGGGCUCCUGGUGGUGGCCUGGAGGGCUAACACUGAAGUCAGGGACCAGGGCAUUGUGAUCCGUGAGUAACUCCUGCCACCAUGGAGAGGGAGGGACAGAGAAUGUGGUACUCCAAGUUUUUCCUCCUGGUGCACCCAAUGAUGAUGUUUAUCUUCCAAAGGCCAGGAACUCAGGAAUCAAAUGCAAAGUCGGGGCAUGAACAGCAUGAAGUUUCCUUGGGAAAAAUUCAGGAAGUUGGUUCCUUUGAGGACACUAUUAACAAAUAAGAGCAGGUAAAUUUUACAGAAUUUAAAACAUUGAAGCAAAUUAGAUAUUUUCCUGUGCUAUAAGUUUAAAGGAAAAAAAAAGACUUAAAAAAAAAAA